GUAGGUGGCAAGCGUUGUCCGGAAUUAUUGGGCGUAAAGCGCGCGCAGGCGGCCUAUCCAGUCUGUCUUAAAAGUUCGGGGCUCAACCCCGUGAUGGGAUGGAAACUAGUAGGCUAGAGUAUCGGAGAGGAAAGCGGAAUUCCUAGUGUAGCGGUGAAAUGCGUAGAUAUUAGGAAGAACACCAGUGGCGAAGGCGGCUUUCUGGACGAAAACUGACGCUGAGGCGCGAAAGCCAGGGGAGCGAACGGGAUUAGAUACCCCGGUAGUCCUGGCCGUAAACGAUGGGUACUAGGUGUAGGAGGUAUCGACCCCUUCUGUGCCGGAGUUAACGCAAUAAGUACCCCGCCUGGGGAGU
rnacentral:rRNA from 1 species